UUUCCGUAGGUGAACCUGCGGAAGGAUCAUUGUCACACAUCCUAAUGGAUGCUUGUGCCAACAAGCAGACCCAGCGAACCAUUCUCCUAUCACUUGAGGGGCUGCAUCGCGAGGUGCAGCUGUCGGCGGUCGGGCCCUUGCUUCAGGGGCCGGAGUCCUUGCUGGGUUCACCGUUGCGGGUGAGCACCGGCCGUCCGACGGGGGCCGCUCUUGGGCCUCGCACGCGGGAGAGUGCGGGGGCGGCGUUUCCCACGCCAGCUGUCCCAUCCGGGGCAGCUGCGCAACCAACCAAAACACUAUGCAAAAACCGACUGAAGACCGAUCCUUUGCGGGGCGCCUUCGGGAGCCCUGCCUCGGAUCAAAAACAAACUAAAGACAACUCUCAACAACGGGUAUCUUGGCUCUC
rnacentral:misc_RNA from 1 species